rnacentral:lncRNA from 1 species
UUCUUGUGGUAUGGUUUCCACCAAGAAUUUGUAGGUAGGCCUUUGCUUCAGUAUUCUUUUGCUCUUGUAAUGUAGUUUUUUUCCACCAAGAACAAUUUUCAGAAUAAAGAUUUUGUCGGAUUUGCUUUUCUAUUUCACAGUUUAUACUCGUGCGAAGUUGGAGUUUUUGCGUAGUAUACAACAGUUUAACCACGUGCUAACACCAUCGGUGGACAAGAAUGAAUUCAUGAUAGUUUACGGCUGCAUCUAGCUUUUGGGCUAGCUUGCCUACGUACCCUGUGAAGGGAUCAAGCCGAACGUAGUUCACCCUCCUUGAAUUGAGGUAAUGAAGGGGAAUUUUGGGUCUUGUGACUGAAUCUAGCUUUUUAGAGACUAGACUGCCUACGUACCCCUUUUUUAGGGAUCAAGUCAACCGUAGUUCUUUACUUGGGCCGCCCUUUCGGGUUUUCAAUCCAAAUUUUUUAUUUUAUUUUAUUUUUUGUGCUCUAAUUUUGCUUGGGCCGCCCUUUCGGGUUUUCAGCCCAACGAGCAUUUUUUAAUUUACCCUAACUUUUGCUUGAACAGCCCUUUUGGGUUUUCAGUCCAACGGGUCUCUUUUUUUUUUUUUUUUUUUUUUUUUUUUUUUUUUUUUUUUUUAACAUCAUGCGUAAAAUUUCUUGACGAAUUUCCCGUUCACACAAGGAUAUAUGCACUUGCCUUCAGAGUUUGACAACUCGUAGGCACCCUUGGAGAAAACCUUAGUAAUGACGUAGGGCCCCUCCCACUUGGGUUCAAACUUACCAUGCAUUUUCCUAGUAAUGACGAAGGGUCUUCGGACAGUUAAAACCAAAUCUCCAAUUGAGAAAGAUCUGAACUUAACUUUUCUGGUGAAUGCCCCUGCCACCUGAGCCUGAUAUAUUUCGAGCCUUUGUUGAGCCGCCAAUCUUUUCUCAUCGAGAGCUUCCAAUUCUGCCAGCCUCACAUUUGCGUUCUCGUCGGGGUUUGUUAGCAGUAAUGCUACCCUUAACGAUGGCAAUUGGACUUCUAACGGUAGAACCGCCUCAGAACCAAACACCAAAUUGUACGGUGUACAUCCUGUUGAGUUGCGUAUGGUCGUCCUGUAAGCCCAUAAUGCUUCAGGGAGGCGUUCAUGCCAAUCUCUUUUGUUUCCUGAGACCAUCUUCUUUAGGAUAUUGCACAAUACUUUAUUGAAAGUUUCAGCUUGACCAUUUGACGACGGAUUGUAACUCGCGGAGAACGAGUGUUGAAACUUAUACUUCUCGCACAACUUGGUCAUGGACUUGCAUUUGAAAUACAAUGCAUUGUCAGAUAUAAUCUUCGAUGGAACCCCAUAACGGUAGAUGAUGUGGUUCCUUAUGAAGUUUGUAACAUCGUCUGCUCGUACCUCCUUUAAAGGAAUUGCUUCAGCCCAUUUAGAGAAGUAAUCAGUCGCGGCCAAGAUGUAUUGAUGUUGACGUGAUGACUUAGGCUUUAUCAUGCCAAUAACAUCUAAACCCCAAGCUUCAAAUGGCCAAGACAAAGUUGUCGGAUGCAAUUGUUGGGGAGGUUGGUGAAUAAAAUCUCCAUGUAAUUGGCAAUCUUUACAUGUGGUUGCAAAUUUUAUUGAGUCUCGGACCAUUGUUGGCCAGUAAUAACCCAAUCUCUUCAGUUGGUUCGAAAGUUUUGGACCAGCUUGAUGAGCACCACAAGUGCCAGCAUGAGUAUCAUGAAGGGCCUUAGUUGCAUCUUGUUUCGACAGACACCUUAACAACAUACCAUCAAAUGAUCUUUUGUACAAGGUAUCAUUUAAGUACAGAAAUCGAGUGGCUCUGCGUCGGACUUCAGCCUUUUUCCUUGAGUCAUUUGGUAACUUGCCAAGUAGUAGAUACUCGAUUAUGGGAUGGCGCCAAUCAAGAUCAUCCGGUUCCUCCUCACAUUCGGAGGACGUGAUAACGUUUGAAUCCACAACUUCUUCAAUUCUCUCUAUAGCUGGGGGUAGCAAAUAACGUUCCCCAAUGGUGACUUGGAUAUCCCUUUCGCUAGGUAGUGUUAACGAUGUAGCCAAAUUAGCUAGUGCAUCAGCUUUAUCAUUUUCCGACCUCGGGAUGUGACUAACAUGAAUGUCUUGAAACUGUGACAUGAGAUACUUCGCCCUUUCAUGGUAUGGGACGAGAGUAGCAUUUCUGACUGCAUAUUGACCAUUCAACUGUCUGACGGCCAACUGUGAAUCACCAUAUGCUUGCAAACAAUCAAUAUGCAUCUCGAGGGCAAUUUCAAGGCCAAUGAUGAGUGCCUCGUAUUCUGCCACAUUAUUCGAACAUAAAGUUAGUAAGGAGAAUGAGUAUGGGAUUAAGCCCCCAGACGGCGUGAUGAAUACUAAUCCUGCCCCAGCUCCGUUUCUUCUUGCUGCCCCAUCAAAAUAUAGUUGCCAUGUAAGUGCUUCUAUUGUGAACACCUCCUCAUCAGGCAAAUCUGCAGGUAACUCCAUGUUGUCGGGAGUAGGAUGAGCAGCCAAGAAAUCGGCAAGAGCUUGCCCUUUGAUCGCCUUUUGUGGCACAAAUUUUAUCUCAAACUCAGAGAGGAGGAGUGACCACUUGGCUAUUCGCCCAGAGAGCACAGGCUUGGACAUUAAAUAUCGGAGCGGAUCUGCCUUGGAAAUCAAGAUGACUCUAUGAGAGAGGAUGUAGUGUCGUAGUUUCUGGACAGCAAACACUAAUGCAAGGCAGACCUUUUCGAUAGGGGUGUAAUUUUGUUCUGCCCCUACGAGUGUUCUACUCAAGUAGUAGAGUGCAUUUUCCUUUCCAUCAUCAUUGUGUUGAGCGAGCAAUGCCCCCAACGAGCGUUCUAACGCUGCAAUAUACAAGAUUAAGGGCUUCCCUUUAAUUGGCGCCAUAAGAACUGGCGGAUUUAAUAGGUAUUGUUUAAUGCUUUCUAAGGCAUUUUGACAUGCUUGAUCCCAUACAAAUGGAACAUCCUUCUUCAUGAGCCUCGAGAAUGGUUGGCACCUUCCAGAAAGAUUUGAGAUGAACCGUCGUAUAUAGGCUAGUCUUCCUUGCAACCCUCGCAACUCCCUUAAAUUUUGAGGGGGAGGCAUUUCACGGAUUGCCUUGAUUUUUGAGGGAUCAAUUUCAAUUCCUCGAUGUCGGACAACGAAGCCAAGGAAUUUGCCUGAAGUUACCCCAAAUGCACACUUCAAGGGGUUCAUUUUCAACUGGUGCUUUCGGAGUCUAUCAAAAACUCGUUUUAAGUCACUCAAAUGAUGUUCCCUUUUCCUGGUUUUAACCACCAAAUCAUCAACGUAACACUCAAUAGUAUUGUGAAGCAUGUCAUUGAAAAUUGUUGUCAUAGCUCUUUGGUAAGUUGCCCCAGCAUUUUUCAACCCAAAAGGCAUCACAGUGUAGCAAUAUAUUCCUUUUGGAGUGCGGAAGGCAGUUUUUUCUUGAUCCUCUGGAGCCAUUUUUAUUUGGUUGUAACCUGAGAAUCCAUCCAUGAACGAUAGAGCACCAAAACCGGUUGUUGCAUCUACCAAUAAUUCUGUGAUUGGGAGCGGAAACUCAUCUUUUGGGCAUGCGUCAUUGACAUCUCUAUAGUCCACGCAUAUACGCAGUGCCCCAGUUUUUUUUAAGUACUGGAAGAAUAUUGGACAACCAAGUGGGAUAGUGGACUUCUCGAAUAAAACCGGCAGCAAUAAGCUUGUCAAUCUCAAUUUCUAUUUGGAUUGUUAGCUCUGGCCGAAAACGGCGUGGCGCUUGCUUCACCCAUCGAACCUCGUUAGGUAUCCCAAGUUUGUGAACUGCAACGUUUGGGUCUAACCCUGGCAUGUCUAGAUAACUCCAUGCAAAUACGUCUCGGUACUCUUGCAACAGUUGUGUGUAUUCUUCUAACUCUUGCGGCGUUAACGAAGCACUGACAAAGAUAGGUUUUGGGUCGUCAACUGUACCAAGAUUAAUUUCUUGCAAAUCAUCAAUUGUGGCUUG